rnacentral:rRNA from 1 species
AGCAAUCCCUGAGUAAAGCGGCAGACGGGUGAGUAACACGUGGGUUAUCUGCCCUCGAGCGGGGAAUAACAUCUCGAAAGAGGUGCUAAUACCCCAUAACAUCCGGGGGCCUCAGGGUUCCCGGAUCAAAGGUGGGGAUCUUCGGACCUACCACUUAAGGAGGAGCCCGCGCCUGAUUAGCUAGUUGGUGGGGUAACGGCCUACCAAGGCGACGAUCAGUAGCCGGCCUGAGAGGGUGAACGGCCACACUGGAACUGAGACACGGUCCAGACUCCUACGGGAGGCAGCAGUGAGGAAUUUUGCGCAAUGGGCGAAAGCCUGACGCAGCAACGCCGCGUGGACGAUGAAGGUCUUCGGAUUGUAAAGUCCUGUCGAGUGGGAAGAAAAAUGCGGGGUCUAAUACAUCCCGCAUUCGACUGUACCAUCAGAGGAAGCCCCGGCUAACUCCGUGCCAGCAGCCGCGGUAAUACGGAGGGGGCCAGCGUUGUUCGGAAUUAUUGGGCGUAAAGGGCGCGUAGGCGGCCGAGUAAGUCUGACGUGAAAUCCCCCGGCCCAACCGGGGAACUGCGUUUGAAACUGCUCGGCUCGAGUCCGGGAGAGGGUAGUGGAAUUCCCAGUGUAGCGGUGAAAUGCGUAGAUAUUGGGAGGAACACCGGUGGCGAAGGUGGCUACCUGGACCGGUACUGACGC